UGGGGCUGAAGCAGGUCCCAAGGGUUCGGCUGUUCGCCGAUUAAAGUGGCACGCGAGCUGGGUUUAGAACGUCGUGAGACAGUUCGGUCCCUAUCUGUCGUGGGCGCAGGAGAUUUGAGGGAAGCUGUCCCUAGUACGAGAGGACCGGGACGGACGCACCUCUGGUGUACCGGUUGUCGCGCCAGCGGCACAGCCGGGUAGCUACGUGCGGACGGGAUAACCGCUGAAGGCAUCUAAGCGGGAAGCCUUUCCCAAGAUGAGAUCUCCCUCGGGCUUCGGCCCGCUUAAGACCCCUUCAAGACCAGGAGGUUGAUAGGCUGGGUGUGGAAGCGCAGUAAUGCGUGGAGCUAACCAGUACUAAUCGGUCGUGAGGCUUGACCAA
rnacentral:rRNA from 1 species